UACGUAGGGGGCUAGUGUUAUCCGGAAUUACUGGGCGUAAAGGGUGCGUAGGUGGUUUCUUAAGUCAGAGGUGAAAGGCUACGGCUCAACCGUAGUAAGCCUUUGAAACUGGGAAACUUGAGUGCAGGAGAGGAGAGUGGAAUCCCUAGUGUAGCGGUGAAAUGCGUAGAUAUUAGGAGGAACACCAGUUGCGAAGGCGGCUCUCUGGACUGUAACUGACACUGAGGCACGAAAGCGUGGGGAGCAAACAGGAUUAGAUACCCUGGUAGUCCCUGAGCGGG
rnacentral:rRNA from 1 species